UCCAGGAUCAAAUAUUGAAGACUUUGUGCAUUCACUGAAGCGUCAGGAUAUAGUUUUGGAAAUAGAUGACCUCAGAAACAGAAAUGGCUCAGAUGAUCCCUCCUACAAUGGAGCCAUCAUAGUGUCUGGUGACCAGAAGGAUUAGAUUUUCAGUUGCAUGUAAUACCAAGAAAUCGAAUUGUUUUCCGUUCUUAUGGGAAUUGUUAGCAAUGCCCUUAUUGGAAUUUUUAACUUCACAGAGCUUAUUCAAAUGGAGAGCACCUUAUUUUUUCGUGAUGACAUAGUGCUGGAUCUUGGUUUUAUAGAUGGGUCCAUAUUUUUGUUGUUGAUCACAAACUGCAUUUCUCCUUAUAUUGGCAUAAGCAGCAUCAGUGAUUAUUAAAAAAAGUUCAAUCUCAGUUAUGGAUUUCAGGCCUCUGGCCUUCAGCAUAAUGGUGUGGACAGGCUCUGGUGGACAUUCCAUUACACUUCUUGAUUCUCCUUUCAAUACAUUUAAUUUACUACUUCUCAUUUCUGGGAUUCCAGCUUCCAUGGGAACUCAUGUUUGUUUUGGUGGUAUGCAUAAUUGGUUGUGCAGCUUCUCUUGUAUUCCUCAUGUACGUGCUUUCAUUCAUCUUUUGCAAGUGGAGAAAAAAUAAUGGCUUUUGGUCUUUUGGCUUUUUUAUUGUCUUAAUAUGUGUAUCCACAAUUCUGGUAUCAACUAAGUAAGAAAAACCCAACUUAAUUUUGUGCAUGAUAUUCAUACCUUCCUUUACUUUCCUAGGAUAUGUCGUUAUUGAUCCAGCUCAACUUUAUGUAUAUGAGAAACUUGGACAGUCUGGACAAUAGAAUAAAUGAAGUCAAUAAAACCAUUCUUUUAACAAACUUAAUACCAUACCUUCAGAGUGUUAUUUUCCUUUUUGUCAUAAGGUGUCUGGAAAUGAAGUAUGGAAAUGAAAUCAUGAAUAAAGACCCAGUUUUCAGAAUCUCUCCACGAAGUAGAGGAACUCAUACCAAUCCAGAAGAGCCUGAAGAAGAUGUUCAAGCUGAAAGAGUCCAAGCAGCAAAUGCACUCACUACUCCAAACUUGGAGGAGGAACCAGUCAUAACUGCAAGCUGUUUACACAAGGAAUAUUAUGAGACAAAGAAAGUUGCUUUUCAACAACAAAGAAGAAAGCAGCCAUCAGAAAUGUUUCGUUUUGUGUUAAAAAGUGAAGUUUUGGGAUUACUAGGACACAAUGGAGCUGGCAAAAGUACUUCCAUUAAAAUGAUAACUGGGUGCACAGUGCCAACUGCAGGAGUGGUGGUGUUACAAGGCAACAGAGCAUCAGUAAGGCAACAGCGUGACAACAGCCUCAAGUUCUUGGGUACUGCCCUCAGGAGAACUCACUGUGUCCCAAACUUACAAUGAAAGAGCAUUUGGAGUUGUAUGCAGCCGUGAAAGGACUGGGCAAAGAUGCUGCUCUUAGUAUUUCAUGAUUGGUGGAAGCUCUCAAGCUCCAGGAGCAACUUAAGGCUCCCGUGAAAACUCUAUCAGAGGGAAUAAAGAGAAAGCUAUGCUUCGUGCUGAGCAUACUGGGGAACCCAUCAGUGGUGCUUCUAGACGAGCUGUUCACCGGGAUGGACCCUGAGGGGCAGCAGCAAAUGUGGCAGAUACUUCAGGCUACCAUUAAAAACCAGGAGAGGGGCGCCCUCUUGACCACCCAUUACAUGUCAGAGGCUAAGUCUCUGUGUGACCGUGUGGCCAUCAUGGUGUCAGGAACGCUAAGGUGUAUUGGUUCCAUUCAACAGCUGAAAAGUUUGGUAAAGAUUAUUUACUAGAAAUAAAAAUGAAAGAACCUACUCAGGUGGAAGCUCUCCACACAGAGAUUUUGAAGCUUUUCCCACAGGCUGCUUGGCAGGAAAGAUAUUCCUCUUUAAUGGCAUGUAAGUUACCUGUGGAGGAUGUCCACCCUCUGUCUCAGGCCUUUUUCAAAUUAAAGGCAGUGAAACAGACCUUCAACCUGGAGGAAUACAGCCUCUCUCAGGCUACCUUGGAGCAGGUGUUCUUAGAACUCUGUAAAGAGCAGGCGCUGGGAAAUGUUGAUGAUAAAAUUGAUAUAACAGUUCGAUGGAAACUUCUCCCACGGGA
rnacentral:lncRNA from 1 species